rnacentral:rRNA from 1 species
AUUGAACGCUGGCGGCAUGCUUUACACAUGCAAGUCGGACGGCAGCGGGGGUGCUUGCACCUGCCGGCGAGUGGCGAACGGGUGAGUAAUAUAUUGGAACGUACCGAGUAGUGGGGGAUAACUAAGCGAAAGUUUAGCUAAUACCGCAUACGACCUGAGGGUGAAAGCGGGGGACGGGAGACUGCCUCGCGCUAUUUGAGCGGCCAAUAACUGAUUAGCUAGUUGGUGGGGUAAAGGCCUACCAAGGCGAUGAUCAGUAGCGGGUCUGAGAGGAUGAUCCGCCACACUGGGACUGAGAGACGGCCCAGACUCCUACGGGAGGCAGCAGUGGGGAAUUUUGGACAAUGGGGGCAACCCUGAUCCAGCCAUGCCGCGUGUCUGAAGAAGGCCUUCGGGUUGUAAAGGACUUUUGUUAGGGAAGAAAAGGGAAGUGCUAAUAUCACUUUUUGCUGACGGUACCUAAAGAAUAAGCACCGGCUAACUACGUGCCAGCAGCCGCGGUAAUACGUAGGGUGCGAGCGUUAAUCGGAAUUACUGGGCGUAAAGCGAGCGCAGACGGUUAUUUAAGUCAGAUGUGAAAUCCCCGAGCUUAACUUGGGAACUGCGUUUGAAACUGGGUAACUAGAGUAUGUCAGAGGGGGGUAGAAUUCCACGUGUAGCAGUGAAAUGCGUAGAGAUGUGGAGGAAUACCGGUGGCGAAGGCAGCCCCCUGGGAUAAUACUGACGUUCAUGCUCGAAAGCGUGGGUAGCAAACAGG